rnacentral:rRNA from 1 species
AGCAGCCGCGGUAAUUCCAGCUCCAAUAGCGUAUAUUAAAGUUGUUGCGGUUAAAAAGCUCGUAGUUGGAUUUCGGGAUUUGUCAGUUGGUCGGGCUUCACUGUCCGUAUUGACUUGAUGGAUUCUUACCUUCUGAAUAACCAGCAUGCUAUUAAGUUAGUGCGUUGGGGAAGCAGAUCUAUUACCUUGAAAAAUUAGAGUGCUUAAAGCGAGCUAGUGCUUGAAUAGAUUAGCAUGGAAUAAUAAAAUAGGACGGCAUGGUUCUAUUUUGUUGGUUUCUAGGAUCACCGUAAUGAUUAAUAGGGAUAGUUGGGGGCAUUAGUAUUCAAUUGUCAGAGGUGAAAUUCUUGGAUUUAUUGAAGACUAACUUCUGCGAAAGCAUUUGCCAAGGAUGUUUUCAUUAAUCAAGAACGAAAGUUAGGGGAUCGAAGACGAUCAGAUACCGUCGUA